rnacentral:lncRNA from 1 species
AAAAGUAUCACUGUGAAAUGCUUUUUAUUCUUGUUGAUUUCAUAUAAUACCCCUUUUUAGAAAGGAAAAUAUGAUAUUAAGUGACAAUAGGUUUAUUAUCCCGAAAUUCUUGAAAACAUUCAAGACUGGUCUCAGACGUAUAGAGGGCCCUUCAAAGUUAUAGUUGCAAAACUCCAGUCAAAAAAGUACAUAUUUUGGACGUAUAGAGGGUCAUUCAAAGAAACUAAAGAAGAAAGUGUGUUUCCUUUGACAAUAUAAUACAUUAUUACAAAAUUGAAACCAAAGAAAAUACUUGGAUCAUCAUUCGAAACAUUUAUAUACAUAGGCAAAUUACAGAGGGAAAUUGCCGCUGAUCAACCAUAGCCACAAUUCCGCUUGGAAACCCUCUCAUGCUUUGAUACGAAUUCGGCCUAAAAGACCUAAGCCCUAAUCUGAAAAAAAAAAUUUGAUGAUUUCCUUUUAUGAAUCUUCACUCGAUUUCAAAUGGAUCGUAAAGAGGCUAUUGUGAAAGAUGAAGCAAUAGAAAAAAUUAAUGAACCGAUUAACAAAAUUACCAUGGAAUAGCGAAUUCAAAGUAGCGACCUCUUAUAUAGGCAGAGCAGUUACCACAACUACAUGAUGUUUAGGGAUUAUGGAGAAGUGGGGAUUAAAGACGUAAUGGGAGGAGGUUGAAGUCAUAACCGAAUCACUCUUUGAAGGAGACUGAUUAACCGAUUGAAUGCUUGUUGAAGGAGACAACCAGCGAUAGUUGAGAUCGUGGGGUGACGACGAACUGCCAUGGAUCGCCAAUAAAACGGAAGGUGAGCAGUUGAAGAAGAAGGGGGUUAGCCAAACGUGGGGAAGAAGAAGCGGAGGAAGCAAAGAAACUGUAAAAAAACUGUAAAUAUGGAUUUUAUGCGGCUUUAUCAAAAGUUGAAGAGAUCCAAGGGCUCAAAAUGAGGGAGCGGUUAUUUGUGACUCUUGCUUAGUAAUAAUAAUAAUUGAAC